rnacentral:lncRNA from 7 species
ACCACCUGUAGAAGCUGAGGCGGCGCCCGGAGCCGCCCCGCGGCGUUGGAGCACUGCGGAGCACAGCAGGACAACCUCGAGGCCGCCGCCUCACCCGGGCGCAAGGCGAUGACGUCACAGCGUGGGACGCGCGCCAUGGCAGCAUCCAAAGGGGACAGCCGCGCUGAAGCGCGGCUGUUAUGGAUACACAGCCACGCGUGCGCCGUCGUCACGCGGACGGCUGUACGCCGUGCCAUGAAUGAGGGCGCGCCGUCGCCGUCGCAACGCAGCUGAGUGACGUCCUGGCAGAUAGAACAAACCAGGUGUGAGCACUGUCUUUCCAAAGUUACACUGAAGCCGUUGGAGGAAAGGUCGGACCUCAGGCCUUCCCGCGGCACCAACUACUGACGGCGGAUUUGCUCACGAUCCUUCACAGCUGUUUCAAAGAACCAUUCUGUGAUUCUAUGAUCUUCCAGGACCCUUCCAAGCCACACCAUCCUGUGGUUCUAUCAUCUUCCAGGACUCUUCCAACACAAACCAUUCUAUGGUUCUGUGAUCACUAAGGAACCUCCCAAGCCACGCCGUCCUGCAGUUCUAUGAUCUUCCAGGACCCUCCUGUGCGGGUGAUGUCACAAUGAUGUGAUGACCUCACAGAGGCCCUGGGGUGGGGCAGGGGCAGUGGGUCAGCGCUGAACCUGCCUGCCUCAUUUUGCGGUUGGUUCUGGUCCAGCGAGGAGCUGUGCGAGUGGUGCAGCAAUGCGGGCCCAGUUUGCCAGCGGGACAUUAACAGAUCUGCAGCGUGUGAAUCUGCUGGAGGAGCUGCUGCAGGCUCAUGAGCGCGCCGUGGAGAAGCGCAAGGCUGAGGCCAGGGAAUCCUUGAUGAAGGUGAGCAGAUGUCCCCUCGUGUGGGUCUGCAGCUCCUCCAUGGAGGAGGCAGGAGGGGAGUGUGGCAUGGAGCUGCUGUCAGAUGGAGCUUCGUGAGAGCGUCGGUGCCCUGAUGGCCGCUCCCCUUCCCCUUUCCUGCAGGAUGCCCAGCAAAUACGGGCAGAAAGAACAGCUGCCAGGAAGGAGGAUCUGGAGCAGGUAGGGUGGAGCGGGGGCUCAUCCUCAGAGCUCAGCGUCCUCACAGCUCUGGCUCUGCGGGAGGACCUCGGUCCCCGUCCCUCGGGUCCAUGGGGCCCAGCGCAGCUGCCCCACAUGGUACACCCGUUGUCUUUGCAGGAGAAGCAGUUCAUUGCCCAGCUG